GCCCCUAUAGCUCAGUGGUAGAGUGUAAGUUUUGUAAACUGAACGUCUAUUGUUCGAUCCCCGAUAUGGGCA
rnacentral:tRNA from 1 species